rnacentral:miRNA from 2 species
AAUUCUGUGCGAAGAAAUUUU